rnacentral:rRNA from 1 species
ACACCCGUUCCCAUACCGAACACGGAAGUUAAGCUUCUCAGCGCCAAUGGUAGUUGGGACACGCGUCCCUGUGAGAGUAGGACGUUGCCAGGC